UGGGGAAUAUUGGACAAUGGGCGCAAGCCUGAUCCAGCCAUACCGCGUGGGUGAAGAAGGCCUUCGGGUUGUAAAGCCCUUUUGUUGGGAAAGAAAAGCAAUCGAUUAAUAUCCGGUUGUUCUGACGGUACCCAAAGAAUAAGCACCGGCUAACUUCGUGCCAGCAGCCGCGGUAAUACGAAGGGUGCAAGCGUUACUCGGAAUUACUGGGCGUAAAGCGUGCGUAGGUGGUUGUUUAAGUCUGUUGUGAAAGCCGUGCGCUCAACCAGGGAAUUGCAGUGGAUACUGGGAAACUAGAGUGUGGUAGAGGGUAGUGGAAUUCCCGGUGUAGCAGUGAAAUGCGUAGAGAUCGGGAGGAACAUCCAUGGCGACGGCAGCUACCUGGACCAAGCCUGACACUGAGGCACGAAAGCGUGGGGAGCAAACAGG
rnacentral:rRNA from 1 species